GACGAACGCUGGCGGCGUGCUUAACACAUGCAAGUCGAACGAAGUGGCGAACGGGUGAGUAACGCGUAAUCAACCUGCUCUUCAGAGGGGGACAACAGUUGGAAACGACUGCUAAUACCGCAUACAGAAGGAGGGGAUUGCGGCUGAUUAGCUAGUUGGGGGGGUAACGGCCCACCAAGGGGAUGAUCAGUAGCCGGUCUGAGAGGAGGAACUGCCACAUUGGGACUGGGGCACGGCCCAGACUCCUACGGGGGGCAGCCGUUGGGAAUCUUCCGCAAUGGACGAAAGUCUGACGGAGCAACGCCGCGUGAGUGUUGACUGCCUUCGGGUUGUAAAGCUCUGUUAAUCGGGACGCGGUACCGGAAUAGAAAGCCACGGCUAACUACGUGCCAGCAGCCGCGGUAAUAC
rnacentral:rRNA from 1 species